rnacentral:lncRNA from 1 species
AUGACCCGGCCAACCUCUUCCCUAGUGACACUGAGGAUGAUAUUCUGCAGUUCUCUCUGCAGCUUUAGCUGUGGCCUAGCCCAGAGCCAUGGGCUGCCAUAAAUAGGUGACCUUCAAAGUUCUGCACCAAAUUGGGAGAAUCUUUCUUUUCUUCCUGUCUGAAGAACAAGAAUGUUUUUUAAGUUUCCCCUAGAGCAGCCGCAUGGCACCAAAUUCCAAAAGGCUCAGGCCACCAAUGUUCUUCAUGAGAUGAUCCAGCAGAUCUCCAACGUUUUCAGCACAAAGAACUGAAAUUCCUCACUGGGCUUGAUCAGUAGCUAGAAUUUCUGGAGACCUGUUUGGGUAUAGGAAAUCAAAGAGACCUUGAGUAGGAGGACUCCAGCCUGGCUGUGAAGGAGUAUUCACAAGCAAUCAGUCUCUAUGUGAGAAAGAAAGAACACAUCUGUUGUGCCUGGGACAUUGUCAGACUGCAGAUUAAGAAAGGAAAAUCAAUAAAUGCUUUCUCUGUGUUAAUAGGCUCAUCGGAAA